rnacentral:rRNA from 1 species
AGGAUCAUUAUCAUGCAACUCAGUCAUGCUACCGUGUGAACUGUACAAAUCCACUCUGUGUACCUCUCCUGUUGCUUCCGCUGGGCCUGGGGCAUUUCAGAUGAGUUGUCUCUCUCCUGCAGUCAAUAGCUAUGGAGGGGUUGGUGACUCUCUGUGGCUGCUCUGGAUUCACAUGCCCAGCGGGAGAAUACUUAAUUUCUGGAUUUACUAUUCCAUCUGUCUGAACUAUGAAUUAAAAAAAAUGUUAAAACUUUCAGCAACGGAUCUCUUGGUUCUCGCAUCGAUGAAGAACGCAGCGAAAUGCGAUAAGUAGUGUGAAUUGCAGAAUUCAGUGAAUCAUCGAAUCUUUGAACGCACAUUGCGCCUUUCGGCAUUCCGGAGGGCAUGCCUGUUCGAGAGUCAUUAACAACCAGUUCAAUCCCCUUUAACAUAUUUGGGGGGGUUGGUUGUUGGUGGAUGAGGGGAUGCAUGCUUCAUGUUCCCAUCUCCUCACCAUCGAAAUUCAGAGGCGGUUUGUCCCCACGUGUUUGUGGCGUUGUAAAGUGUCACCAGCACUAUUCGCACGCAUUGUGGGUGCGCAUGGCUUGCCAUAGGAGAAAUCCCCAUUCAUCAAAGGUUGACCUCGGAUCAGGUAGGGAUACCCGCUGAACUUAAGCAUAUCAAUAAGCGGAGGAAAAGAAACCAACUGGGAUUGCCUCAGUAACUGCGAGUGAAGUGGCAAAAGCUCAAAUUUGAAAUCCGGUGCCUCUGGUACCCGAGUUGUAAUUUGGAGAGACAAAUCUUGUGGAUGGCGCCGGCCUAGGUUCCUUGGAAGAGGACAACACAGAGGGUGAGAAUCCCGUGCAUGGCUGGACUGCGGUCACGUAAUAGACUGUCUUCGACGAGUCGAGUUGUUUGGGAAUGCAGCUCAAAAUGGGUGGUAAAUGUCAUCUAAAGCUAAAUAUUGGCGAGAGACCGAUAGCGCACAAGUAGAGUGAUCGAAAGAUGAAAAGCACUUUGAAAAGAGAGUCAAAAAGUACGUGAAAUUGCUGAAAGGGAAGCGCUUGAGAUCAGACUCGAGCCGUGGUGAUCAGUUGUGCUUCUGCACGGUGUCACUUGCCACGGUUUGGGCCAGCAUCGGUUCCGGCGGCUGGAUAAAAGGUUUGGGAAUGUAGCUUCCUUCGGGGAGUGUUAUAGCCCUCAUCACAAUGCAGCCAGCUGGGAUCGAG